CUUUGGGAACCUGUGUUUCAUUAAACAGAAGGGUACAAAGUCCCAGCUUAAUCAUGCGUGUAAGUGCCCAGUUUCCUCAAUAUACCAGUUAUGCACACCUUGUCAGCGUUUCCAUAUUGGUGCUAACGGCACUGUCCUGUACGUCACAGGAAUCAAACAUAUUAACUUGCACACGUUCUGCCCCCGUGAGCCCCUCAUGGUGCUGAAUGCACACAACGGUGCCUCUCCCUGGCCUCCAAACCCGCCUCAGUGGUACAUCUCAUUUUUCUGCAGCUCCCAAGAGACCCGUAAGCCUCUUCCACCACCUUUCCUAGAGCAUAAAGGAUUGUGCCACAGCAAGGAGAGUUUAUACUUUCAUGUAGGAAAGCACAAAACGGGCUCAAAGCUGCAUGUGGCAAUAGGUCCAAAUAUCUCCACACCAGCAACAGGCUCUGUCAAGGACAGAGCUCUCCUAUAUAGGCCACUUCCUAGUGAGGCCCUCAUUGGUGCAGUACUAGGAGACUUCAGACAUAUUUUAACCACACAAGUACCAACAGGAAAACCACCGCUCUCAGUGACUUGUGCUUUGCAUGCUAGACAAAUUACUGCAUGUGAAGAAAGGGCAGCGUGUCUGCAGAAGCCCAAGCACCAACUCCAUAGAGCAUCUCCUGAGCUGCACUGGGACCUUGGGCAGAGAGGACUCUGCACCUUCAAUGUUAACCCUGUGGUGUGCGAUUCAUCCACCUUACAGAAUUUAGGAUGGAAAGUCCCCCCUCUCGAGGAGUUAUGAACUGGAAAAACAAUCUGGUAAAUAAUGUGAGCCAGAACCACUGUCAGUACCCUUCUUCUUAAGCCAGUCCCAUUGAAGAGUUUGCUCCCUUUGGAGGCGGGGAGAGAGUACAGGAGUAGGAAGGAAGGUCUAGCUUCUUAUUCCUCAGUUAUGUCUACCAUUACCAGAAUCAUUUCACAGCACAGUGCUUUAAACAGCUGCAUGAGAUGCCUGAACAGUCAUAUCUGCAGAACCACAGAGCAUCUGCAAGCCUUACAGGAACCUACGCACCAGAGAAGAUCUUUUCGUCACACCUGUAACAACAGUUUUCUUCCCCCAAUUUCUCAUCUCUCUCCAUGGAAAUUAUGAAAGGCAGACAACAAUGUUAUCAUCUUUAACUGUUAAGUUUACAGCAGUGUCACCAUGCUGAUAGCAAAGUACAUCCAAAAACCAAUCAAGAGCAGCCCUGUGAUCAUCUUCAGCUGAGAGAUUUGAUUUUUCUAUGCUACCACAUUUAGUAACAUGUAAAGAAUUUCAUGAGCACCCCUCCAUGGGGGUUAGCAGUGUCAAGUUUUGUUUAAUCAAUGUUCUUACUGUGCCUGCAAGAAUAAUCUCUCUAAGAGUUUUUGUCUCUAGAGACUGGAAGUCACAGAAGCACCUGGCAGCCCAGCAGGCCAGGACCACACGAGGAACAGCACUACAUGCCUGGGCCACAAGAUAACCUGGAACACAGUAGAACCUCAUACAAUAGUUAAAGACCCUAGAGAAGCCUCUCACAAAGGCCUUUACCAGCACUGAUGCCUUGCAGGACCGCAGCAAGAAGGGACCGCGGCGCGCGGCCACAGGAACGCGCAGACACCCGAGCUUUUGCCUGCUUUCCACAUUAACUGCAGAUCAUUUUGUUCUAUUUCAUGCUAAGGAGACUGUAUCAAAAUGAAGCUUUUUCUUACAAACCACGAAGCGUGUCACCGCAGAGCAAUAACCCCCUUUGGGCAGCAGACUUGCUGAGAUGUGAAAUGAGUUUACCAGCAUCAGAUGAGCUGCGGAAGGGCCCCCUGCCCCAGUGCUGGCUGCUCGUGCCCUGUGCCCCCCCAGCCCCCCAGCGGCCGGCAGCGCGGGGGCCUCGGGGCCUACCUGCCUGCGAGCUACCACUCCACGGGCCUCCUGCCCGCUCCCGUGCCCGCCUCAGACCGCUGCUCAGCGGGGACGCGGCCGUGCGAUCCCGCACCCGGGCGCAAACCCCUUCGCUCCGUCAGCUGCUGCAGGAGCCUGCUCUGCAGCGCGCUUGAUGCUUACCCACAGGUGUUACAAAAGGGAGACCGAAAGCCAAAAAUAGUGCUCUAGCUUGGCGUGGAAACUGCGCGGCAAUGCAGCUUUCUCAGCGCUACCCAUACAGCUCGUGGCUCACUUCCACGCCUGCGGCAGCUCUGCGGGUGUCAUCCGGGCGAACGGCAGCGCUGCCUCUCUUCCCGGUGUGUUUUCCGACAGGAUUCGUCUUUCCCUUCGCAUGAGUCACAGAAGCAUCCUCCAAAACGGGAACGGCUGCGUACAGGCGCAGGACACCACCUCCUCCCGAGACUCAAGCUUUCCACGGUAACCGGAAAAAUUUGAGAAACGUCUUCAUGUGUUCAGGCUCACCCAAGACUAAUAAAAGCCAACAAGAAUCCCCAAACCGAGGAGAAAACAACAUUUUGUCACUGUUGGCACACAGGCUGGGACUGCACAAUAUCCUGUUGUUCUUUCUCCCUAUUUUUCACCACAGCAGCGGCAGCAGCAAGCGGAGCGAGACAAAGGGCCAGGGAAACGGGUAGCACGCGCACAGGCGCAGAUGUCGUGCGGUGCCGAGCGGUGGUGUACGGCGCCCAGAGCCUGGACGUGCCCAAGAGCUUCCUGAAUGUUUAAAUGUACUUGAAGGAGUGCAACGUUCAAUUUGUGCCAUCAGUGCUAUGCAUUGAAAAGUAUUCAAAAUAUUCUUUUAUUUUGCUUAUAAAAUAUGAAUUCUGUAUGAA